rnacentral:lncRNA from 1 species
AAUCCAAUCUAAGUCAAACUAAACUCAAUUCAAUUAGACUUGAUCUAAAGCUCUUUGCUCAAUCAAAUUGAGUUAAUUAUCAAUCUAAUUGCUAAUUAAUUUUUUAUUAAUAAUAGAGUUUCAGUCCAGUGAGACUCUCUUCCAGAGUUUCAGUCUUAGUAGGACUCUUCAUCAAAGUCACAAUCUAAUUAGACUCUUCAGCCAUC